AUGAACGCUGGCGGCGUGCUUAACACAUGCAAGUCGAACGAGAAGUGAAGACGGAAACCUUCGGGCGGAAGGCUUUAUUUCGAGUGGCGGACGGGUGAGUAACGCGUGGGUAACCUGCCUCAUACAGGGGGAUAACAGUUGGAAACGACUGUUAAUACCGCAUAAGACCACAGCACCGCAUGGUGCGGGGGUAAAAACUCCGGUGGUAUCAGAUGGACCCGCGUUCGAUUAGCCAGUUGGCGGGGUAACGGCCCACCAAAGCGACGAUCGAUAGCCGAUCUGAGAGGAUGACCGGCCACAUUGGGACUGAGACACGGCCCAAACUCCUACGGGAGGCAGCAGUGGGGAAUAUUGCACAAUGGGGGAAACCCUGAUGCAGCGACGCCGCGUGAGUGAAGAAGUAUUUCGGUAUGUAAAGCUCUAUCAGCAGGGAAGAAAAUGACGGUACCUGAGUAAGAAGCCCCGGCUAACUACGUG
rnacentral:rRNA from 1 species